GCGCGAUUGACGGAAUAGGUAUACGUGUCAGCCUUAGAAGUUGAAUUUUGAGGGUUCGAAUCCCUUGUCGCGCACCA
rnacentral:tRNA from 1 species